rnacentral:rRNA from 1 species
ACGCACGCUGGCGGCGUGCUUAACACCUGCAAGUCGAACGGAAAGGCCCUGCUUUUGUGGGGUGCUCGAGUGGCGAACGGGUGAGUAACACGUGAGUAACCUGCCCUUGACUUUGGGAUAACUUCAGGAAACUGGGGCUAAUACCGGAUAGGAGCUCCUGCUGCAUGGUGGGGGUUGGAAAGUUUCGGCGGUUGGGGAUGGACUCGCGGCUUAUCGGCUUGUUGGUGGGGUAGUGGCUUACCAAGGCUUUGACGGGUAGCCGGCCUGAGAGGGUGACCGGCCACAUUGGGACUGAGAUACGGCCCAGACUCCUACGGGAGGCAGCAGUGGGGAAUAUUGCACAAUGGGCGGAAGCCUGAUGCAGCAACGCCGCGUGCGGGAUGACGGCCUUCGGGUUGUAAACCGCUUUCGCCUGUGACGAAGCGUGAGUGACGGUAAUGGGUAAAGAAGCACCGGCUAACUACGUG